CGGAGAACGGUAGACAAACUCAUGUUGUUAAACAAAAUACAUUUGCAAGGGAUUGAAGUAUUCAGGACAUUAGACUAGUUACGACCAACUUUAAACCUACAAGGAAUUAACUCAAGAAGAGUCCAUUUAUCAUCAACAGAUGGCUUUCCCGAGGAGCACCUCCAUUCAUAAACACAUUAAUUUAAGGAGAUGAAGAUUAAUUGAAUUGGAGCACAUUGGACGACAACAGAAGAUACAGUUAAGGUAAAAAGCUUCUUCCAUCCUAUGCUUUAAAUUAAUUAUAUUAUGUGCAGACGAAUGUACAGUAAAUAUAACUGAAGCACAGAACCAUUCAAGGGUCAGUUUUCUGUAAUUGAGAUUUAUACAUGACUUAUACAUUUGAAUGAACGAACUUUCCACUUAUUAGAGACACUUUUUGGAAUCUGAGAGAACAAAA